AAUAUUGGUCAAUAGCCUAACGGCUGAACCAGCAACUUGGAAGAAUGUAUAACGAAUAAGUCGUAUAAAAUUCUAGGUAGAAGAAUGAUAGUGACAAUUUUCUAUCUAUAAGUCUUGACCAAAUUACGUGCCAGCAGUCGCGGUAACACGUAGAAGACUAGUGUUAUUCAUCUUUAUUAGGUUUAAAGGGUACCUAGACGGAAAAUCAAGCCAUAAUAGGGACUAAUUUUCUAGAGUUUUAUGAGAGAAGGGGUGAAUUUCCGGAGGAAAGUUGAUAUUUAGUGAUACUGGAAGGACGGGUAACGGCGAAGGCAACCUUGUAUGUAAAAACUGACGUUGAGGGACGAAGCCUUGGGUAACGAGAAGGAUUAGAUACCCUAGUAGUCCUUGGAGACAAUUAUGAAUGUCAUAGGCUAGAUAAUUUAGCCUAUAAAUGAAAGUGUAAGCAUUCCACCUCAUGAGUAAAGCGGCAACGCCCAAAUUGAAAUCAUUAGACCGUUUCUGAAACCAGUAGUGAAGUAUGUUAUUUAAUUCGAUGAUCCGCGAAUAACCUUACCACAAUAUGCAUUGAAUAUUAUUCAAUUAUUACAAGCGCUGCACGGCUGUCUUCAGUUAAUGUCGUGAGAUUUUGGUUCGUUCCUUUAAUUAACGAAAACCC
rnacentral:rRNA from 1 species